rnacentral:rRNA from 1 species
ACGCCGCGUGAAGGAAGAAGUAUUUCGGUAUGUAACUUCUAUCAGCAGGGAAGAAAAUGACGGUACCUG